rnacentral:rRNA from 1 species
AUUGAACGCUGGCGGCAUGCUUUACACAUGCAAGUCGAACGGUAACAGGCCGCAAGGUGCUGACGAGUGGCGAACGGGUGAGUAAUGCAUCGGAACGUGCCCAGUCGUGGGGGAUAACGCAGCGAAAGCUGCGCUAAUACCGCAUACGAUCUCUGGAUGAAAGCGGGGGACCGAAAGGCCUCGCGCGAUUGGAGCGGCCGAUGUCAGAUUAGGUAGUUGGUGGGGUAAAGGCCAACCAAGCCAACGAUCUGUAGCUGGUCUGAGAGGACGACCAGCCAAACUGGAACUGAGAGACGGCCCAGACUCCUACGGGAGGCAGCAGUGGGGAAUUUUGGACAAUGGGCGCAAGCGUGAUCCAGCAAUGCCGCGUGCAGGAAGAAGGCCUUCGGGUUGUAAACUGCUUUUGUACGGAACGAAACGGUCCGGGUUAAUACCCUGGGCUAAUGACGGUACCGUAAGAAUAAGCACCGGCUAACUACGUGCCAGCCGCCGCCGUAAUAC